rnacentral:rRNA from 1 species
UACAGAGGUCUCAAGCGUUGUUCGGAUUCAUUGGGCGUAAAGGGUGCGUAGGCGGCGCCGUAAGUCGGGUGUGAAAUUUCGGAGCUUAACUCCGAAACUGCAUUCGAUACUGCGGUGCUUGAGGACUGGAGAGGAGACUGGAAUUCAUGGUGUAGCAGUGAAAUGCGUAGAGAUCAUGAGGAAACCAGUGGCGAAGGCGGGUCUCUGGACAGUUCCUGACACUGAGACACGAAGGCCAGGGGAGCAAACGGG